AACGAACGCUGGCGGCAUGCCUAACACAUGCAAGUCGAACGAUUGCCUUCGGGUGAUAGUGGCGCACGGGUGCGUAACGCGUGGGAAUCUGCCCUUAGGUUCGGAAUAACAGCUGGAAACGGCUGCUAAUACCGGAUGAUAUCGCGAGAUCAAAGAUUUAUCGCCUGAGGAUGAGCCCGCGUUGGAUUAGGUAGUUGGUGGGGUAAAGGCCUACCAAGCCGACGAUCCAUAGCUGGUCUGAGAGGAUGAUCAGCCACACUGGGACUGAGACACGGCCCAGACUCCUACGGGAGGCAGCAGUGGGGAAUAUUGGACAAUGGGCGCAAGCCUGAUCCAGCAAUGCCGGGUGAGUGAUGAAGGCCCUAGGGUUGUAAAGCUCUCUUACCCGGGAAGAUAAUGACUGUACCGGGAGAAUAAGCCCCGGCUAACUCCGUG
rnacentral:rRNA from 1 species